GAUGAACGCUGGCGGCGUGCCUAAUACAUGCAAGUCGAGCGCAGCGGGGACAGGUGCGUAACACGUGGUUAACCUCCUAUACCACUGGGUUAACUUCGGGAAACCCGUGCUAAAUCUGCUGUUCAUAGAUGGCUCCGCGCUGCAUUAGCUAGUUGGUAAGGUAACGGCUUACAAAGGCCACGAUGCAUAGCCGACCUGAGAGGGUGAUCGGCCACACUGGGACUGAGACACGGUCCAGACUCCUACGGGAGGCAGCAGUAGGGAAUCUUCCGCAAUGGACGAAAGCCUGACGGAGCAACGCCGCGUGAGUGAAGAAGGUCUUCGGAUCGUAAAACUCUGUUAUUAGGGAAGCGGUACCUAAUCAGAAAGCCACGGCUAACUACGUGCCAGCAGCCGCGGUAAUUC
rnacentral:rRNA from 1 species